UACGUAGGGGGCGAGCGUUGUCCGGAUUUAUUGGGCGUAAAGAGCUCGUAGGCGGCUUGUUGCGUCGACCGUGAAAACCCGUGGCUCAACUGCGGGCUUGCGGUCGAUACGGGCGGGCUAGAGUUCGGUAGGGGAGACUGGAAUUCCUGGUGUAGCGGUGAAAUGCGCAGAUAUCAGGAGGAACACCGGUGGCGAAGGCGGGUCUCUGGGCCGAUACUGACGCUGAGGAGCGAAAGCGUGGGGAGCGAACAGG
rnacentral:rRNA from 1 species